rnacentral:rRNA from 1 species
UACGAAGGGGGCUAGCGUUGCUCGGAAUCACUGGGCGUAAAGCGUACGUAGGCGGAUUGCUAAGUCAGGGGUGAAAUCCUGGAGCUCAACUCCAGAACUGCCUUUGAUACUGGCAACCUUGAGUCCGGGAGAGGUGAGUGGAACUGCGAGUGUAGAGGUGAAAUUCGUAGAUAUUCGCAAGAACACCAGUGGCGAAGGCGGCUCACUGGCCCGGUACUGACGCUGAGGUGCGAAAGCGUGGGGAGCAAACAGG